rnacentral:tRNA from 1 species
GGUUCGGUAGUUCAGCUGGUUAGAAUGCAAGCCUGUCACGCUUGAGGUCGUGGGUUCGAGCCCCAUCCGAAUCGCCA